GUCAGUGUGGCAAAGUGGUUUGAGCAUUGGACUACAACUCUGGAGACUGGGUUCAAUUCCCAGCUUGGCCA